rnacentral:rRNA from 1 species
AACGAACGCUGGCGGCAGGCUUAACACAUGCAAGUCGAACGCAUCGCAAGAUGAGUGGCAGACGGGUGAGUAACGCGUGGGAAUCUACCCAGUUCUACGGAACAACUGAGGGAAACUUCAGCUAAUACCGUAUACGCCCUACGGGGGAAAGAUUUAUCGGGAUUGGAUGAGCCCGCGUUGGAUUAGCUAGUUGGUGGGGUAAUGGCCUACCAAGGCGACGAUCCAUAGCUGGUCUGAGAGGAUGAUCAGCCAAACUGGGACUGAGACACGGCCCAGACUCCUACGGGAGGCAGCAGUGGGGAAUAUUGGACAAUGGGCGCAAGCCUGAUCCAGCCAUGCCGCGUGAGUGAUGAAGGCCUUAGGGUUGUAAAGCUCUUUCAGUAGGGAAGAUAAUGACGGUACCUACAGAAGAAGCCCCGGCUAACUUCGUGCCAGCCGCCGCAGUAAAAC